rnacentral:tRNA from 1 species
CGGGAUAUAGUUCAGAGGUAGAACAUGUGCUUAGCAUGCACAAGGUCCAGGGUUUAUUCUCCAGUACCUCCA